CUGUAUCACAAGUAGAACCUGUAUAUCCCUGAUCACAUGAACACGUGUAUCCGGUGGGACCACUAUUGCAUUGUCCGUUUACGCAUGGAUUUAGUCUACAGUCUAAAGAUUCAACAUGAUGUCAGUUAUUGUGUCAGUUAAGUAUUAAGAAUCUCAGUACAAACACAUAAACAUAUACAAUUGCUAUUGUAACCAAAAGUAGCACGUGAAACAUGUUUAUACAAUUAGUAUAUAUUUAGCAUGGUUUGGGAUAGCAGGCCGCUAUUUAUGCAUACAUCAAAAGUUAUAUGUAAUAUGUGUGCAAGGAACAUGACAAAACAUUGAUGGAAUUGUUUUAUUUGUAUACCAAUUUGUGUUAUUUCGGUUUUUAUUGUAUUAGUGAUAUAGACUUGUAAGUUUUGAAUGUCCACUUUGUAUCAUGACCUAUUUCUUACUAGACAACAACAUGAUUUACUAGUAAUGUGUCAGUAAACUAUUGAAUAUUCCGGUACAAACACGGAACGAGACUAUACAUGUAUGUGUCUACACCAUAAGCAUCCUGUACUUUUUCUUGCAUUUUUUUUUUAUAAAAACAGAAUAUUCCAGAUCUGUGUUAACAGUUGAUCCUUGUAAUAGUAUAUGACAAUUUAUAAAUAUAAAUAGUCAGUAAAAAAAUACUAGCCAGUGUCGGAAGUUGGGUAUAGAAACAAGAUUAUAACUAUGCAGUUAUUAAAGUCAUUAAAGCAUAUUUUAAGAUAUGAGCAGAUUAUGCUAGCAAUCAUUAUAAUCAUCGCAUCACCUUUUGGUGAAAAUUGAAUAUUUCAAGAGAGCGGAGGGGGUAGGAGUACGUUAGCUUUUUUUGUGAAAUAGUUUGUCGAGUGAUCAGACUUCAAAACAACUAAUGUAUUGAUCAAUUCAACAAUCACUUUCAUAUGACGAUGAUUUUCAUUCCAAUUUAUAAGCAUGUUCUUUGUAUCGUUUUACUUAUCAAACUUGCAAGGUCAAUUUCACUUGUAAUAUUUCAAAUUUUGAUUUGGUUGGCUCCAGAAUGAAAGAAAAAAUAACAACAUGUAGUGUGGACAUUAGUUUGCCAUUAAAACAAGAGGUGAAGAGUGGCAUGUUUGACUGGCAUACACAAAUAGUAUAUCAUCAUAACAUAUUUAGCACGGUUUGGUAUUGCAGGCAGCAAUGCAUGCAUACAUCAAAUUGAUAUGUCACGUUACUGCAUGGAACAUGAUGAAACAUGAUGUUAUCGUUUAUAUAGUAUCAACAUUGCAAUAUUUUGUUGAUAGUUCUAUGAUAUACAUAAUCAAUUUAAACUACUUGCUAUUUUUGUCUAUCUAGAAAUAAAUACUUACAGUUGAUCGCUGAAAUUUAUGAUUUACUUUUAAAAUUUGGAUUAAUUUAUAUUCUUAAUGGAAGUUCUUAAUUGUCAAAUAGAUGAAUGAUAUCGACUUCCUAUAACAUAUACAACCAGUUUGCAUUUGUAUCGAUUAUAUUACUCGAUUUAUUUCACUUGACUGGGCGGAGUUUAACCGAUUCGCUCACAAUAGACCAGUCCAUCUAUAGAUAGGUGUUUAAGGAUAAACUCAUCAAUGAAGUGUCCAGUCAUUGUUUUUUUAAAUUCCUUUGAUGACACUGAUAGGUGAUUAGAAAUCAGUAAUAAUUAUAACAGCUAUCAUCCUUAUCACACACAUCUUCAAAUAGACUGUCCUUAUGCAAAUUAAAACGUAAGCUCCGCCCGAUCAGUUGAAAUGACAUUAGUAAUACAUGUAUUACAGUUAGAAUUAAUACAUGUACACGUGUAUCCCGAAUGAUCAUACGACGAACGGUCACAUGACAUUACAGUCACGUGUGAAUCGGUUUAUCCCAUCGCUUAAGGCAGAUUUUUUUUUAUAAUAAUGAUUACUUCUAUACGGUUCUCUAGCAAUUUUCGGUCAAAUCUACUAUGGACAUCCUGGGGAUGUUGCAAGUAAUUUGGAUUUAAAAAAAAAACUUUUAAAUGAUUUAACAGAAAUAAUAUAAAACUAAUAAUAACCAAAGACAUUAUUAACAAGAAAUACAGGAAAGUCAUAUUCAUUUUGUACUUUUUUAUCAAUAUGUAAGGUUGACAUUUACACUACUGAAUGUAACACAUAAUGGUGUUUUCAUUUAUUACUUCAAUAGGGUAUAAAUGUCAAUACGUAUAUUAUUUCUUUUUUACUAUUAGUUUUAAUUAUGUAAAAUAAAAUAAAAAUAAUGCGGGUUGUGAAAUGUCUUACAUCAAGUACAUUUCUACAAGACAAGAUUUUCACUGGACAGAGAUGUGUUACUCGAGAUUCAGAUUGUAUGUAAUAAUCUGAUAGCAAUGUUUUACCUUUGUUGCAGUUGGUGCCUGAGUAUCCUUGCGUACAACUGCAUGUAUAACCAGAUGCACUAUUUUGGCAUCUUCCGUUUAGGCAAGGGUUCGAAUGACAGU
rnacentral:lncRNA from 1 species